rnacentral:lncRNA from 1 species
UCCCAUGGCAGUACUGCCAGGCUCGCCAAUCAACAUGGGGACAAGAGCUUGGCUCAAAUAUGUGGCAUAAUAGCCUCAGAUGAGAAGCGCCAUGAAACUGCCUACACCAAGAUAGUGGAAAAGCUCUUUGAGAUUGAUCCCAAUGGAACUGUUUUGGCUUUUGCAGACAGGAUGAGGAAGAAAAUCACCAUGCCGGGCCUCUUGAUGUAUGAUGGAUGUGAUGAAAACCUUUUUAAGCACUUCUCAGCAGUUGCUCAGAGGCUUGGUGUGUAUACUGCCAAGGACUAUGUUGAUGUCUUAGAAUUCUCUGUGGAGAGAUGGAACGUGGAAAAGCUAACUGGGCUUUCUAGUGAGGGGCGAAAAGCUCAGGAUUACGUUUGUGGGUUAGCUCAAAGAUUGAGAAAGCUGGAGGAGAGAGCUCAAGAAAAAGCUAAGCAAGCACCCACCAUUCCUUUCAGUUGGAUUUUGGAUAGAGAAGUGAGGCUCUGAGUGCAAAAUGGAAGACAAAGAUUGGUCGUGUCCUCAAAGAUCUAUCCUGUAAUAUACAAGUUUAAGCCAUCUAUGUUUCUCUAUCUCAAUUUUAAUAAUCACGAUCUCAUCUCAUAUCACUUCUUAGAAUCCUACAAACCAGGGUUUUGGUUCAUAUCUCAUCAUUUGGACUGGAGCAGUGCUUUUUUUUUUUUUUUAAAUUCCUAUAAGAUAUUGGUAAAAACAUCCUUAGCAAAAAGGAAAUGAUAGGACACUGUACAUGUUCCAAUCAAGGAGAGCUCAGCACCGGUGGUGGUGAGAGGUAGUGGAGAAGGAAAUUAUGGCUCCUUGAUAACUGCAAAUGCAGCCCCAGUGAGAGAGCCAAAAUUUUCCUUUGAAAGUUUUGUGUUCAUAAUAUACAUCUCAGUGCCUGAACCUUCCUGCAAUAUCUUUUCUAAUUAAUGAAUUUCUUGAAAUGGGGCAGUUUCAUCGAAUGUCGUCAAUUUCUAUAGCCAUGUAUGUGUAGCAUCUAAGUAGCAAACUGAACCUAAGAAAAGCAGAGGAAGUGAAAGUCCAGAAAUGAAUCUCAACCUAAACCCCCUUACCUUUCAACCCGGGAAGUUUCCUUCUCUUUCUCUCCGUCCCAGAUCUUCCAACGUCUCCAUCGCUUCCACCAUCACCUCUGCCUCCAAUUGAGUGUCUUUAGUCGAAAAUGUUCCUCGGAAAAUUCAUUUGAUUCCCAAAAUAUUCUAUGAAUGGAUAGAUCUUGCCGAUGUUCAUUGAAAAGAGGCGGAAGCAAAGCUCAAAUGUAUGCAUCAUUUUUAAGGCACAACCAACAUGAAUAGAAGCUUAACAGCCAAAUUGACUAGAUGGAUCUCUCUUUUUUCGGUUUCCUAUACUUUCUCGGCAACCAAAAGGGUUGGCAGAGAGAAUCUGAGACUAAUGCUUGGGAGAUGAUCCAAAAACCGUACUCCAAAAGUGAAGUAACC